UGUGGCAGAGCGCCCCUCCUGGGUCAGGGGGUUUUCCCUGAGAAGGAAGUCCAGGCAGAUAGCUGCAGUCAAGGCCAAGUGUGCCAGGCAGUCCUCUUGCGAGAUGUCUCUGAUCCCAGAUGUCUGAGGCCAGGUGUCAUUGCUGCCCUAGGCGUGUGAAGGAACAGAGUCAAGCGGGUG